GACGGGACCCAAGUCCUGGACACAGGGAACAGUAUUCGGAACUCAUUUAGUAGCUGAGACUCCAGGGAAGUCUGGUCAUGGGGUUUCUCCUUUUCCCUCUGAGUCAAGGUCAACUCACACCCAGGACUUGGAAGAAUCCUUGACACGUUGGAUGUGAUCUUGCAACUGAAGCAAGGAAAAUACACUCUGGAAAAGGGUCAUCAUCGCGCAGACUUGGGACACAGCAGGCACUGGGGGAGACGCAGCACACUCACCCCAGGGUUGGUGGCACAGACCCGUGUGUACCAGAAGGCAGAAGCACGGGCGGCCACCAGGAGCUCCAGCACCAUGAGGCUGAGCAUCGCCAGGAGCACGCCCUGCGGUGGGGACAGGGAGGUUCAGACCCAAACUGGCAGCCUGCGCCAGACCCGGACAAGGCCAGCUGAAGCCUCCAUCAGCAGAGACGGCGGAACAGUGGGAUCUGCCUGGCCCUCGCCUCUGCUUCCCCUUCCACCCUUCUCUGCAGAGGGAGGGACAGGAUACUUAGCCCCAAACUGUUUACUGUUGGACUGAAGUCAGGCAGGACACAAUCCUCCAGUUCAUAGAUUGAGUAGCAGUACUCUGAAUAAGGCAAUGAAGAGAGAUACGCCCAUCCCAUUCUGAACUACCAGACGGAGUGGCAGGCCCCAAGGCCGCCAGGCUGCACGUGAGGAGGAAGAUGCCCGGCCCAGCACAGCAGAACUCACUGCAUUUGAGGUCAGGCUGCUCCUGGCCGGGAAGAGAAAUCCCGCUUUAGACUCCUGAUGGCUGUGUCCAGAUGUCCCCCAAAGCCUCAAGCAGUCUUGGUUGGGGCUUUUUCAGAGGUGGCUGAAUCCAGAGUAUGUGACUGCUUCAUGGUGUGGUGCUGGGUUACGGGUGUGAUCACUAACUCAGUCCCCUGAUUUGUUUGGCACUGCCCUAACCUGGUAGCCUGGAUACAACAUAAGGGGCAGAAAGAGGCUUGCAGGUCCUUUGCUCCUUGCUUGUUGCUUUUGCUGUCUUCUGCUUGCCAUGAACUGGUUUUCCACCCUGCCU